CUGCAGCCACAAGCACUUGCAGGACUGCAGCGUGCCAGCUGCAGCCAUCCUACUGCCCUGCUUUCACCUUCUCACUGGCACUUUCUUAUUUUGAGAGUUUGGAGAAUUGGUCUCCUAGCCAAAACGCUGAGUGAUGCCAGUUCCCGGGGGAAGGAAGGAGGGACAGAAGGAAAGGAGAGUGCCUCUGAACGCUGAGGGCAUGAGCAUUUCUCUCCUCCGGUUCUGGGAGAGGAAAUUCUGCAAACCAAAUGUGAACUCAGGAAAGGGAGGUACUAGCAAACUUGCUGUGCCAAAGGCAAACACAAAAGGCUCACCUCUGCAGCUGUACCCGACUGAACAAUGCCAGCUAAUAGAGGAGCACGGUGCCAGCCUCAUACAGAGUGGUACGGGG